UCAACUCAAUAGCAGAAAUAAAAAUUCACAGAAUUUAGAUAGUUCAAUAAACCAUGACAUAUUCUGUGAAAAGGAUGAAUCUCAAUUCACUGUGAAAAGAAAACUCUAAAAAUUACAAUGUGUUCUACAUCUCAAACUCGACUUUUGCAUACACAAAAUCAUAAAAUAUUUCUUAAUAAUUAAAACUGAAAUUUAUGAGAAU
rnacentral:lncRNA from 1 species